rnacentral:rRNA from 1 species
UACGGAGGGUGCGAGCGUUAAUCGGAAUUACUGGGCAUAAAGGGUGCGUAGGUGGUUGAUUAAGUUAUCUGUGAAAUUCCUGGGCUUAACCUGGGACGGUCAGAUAAUACUGGUUGACUCGAGUAUGGGAGAGGGUAGUGGAAUUUCCGGUGUAGCGGUGAAAUGCGUAGAGAUCGGAAGGAACACCAGUGGCGAAGGCGGCUACCUGGCCUAAUACUGACACUGAGGCACGAAAGCGUGGGGAGCAAACAGG